rnacentral:rRNA from 1 species
UACGAAGGGGGCUAGCGUUGCUCGGAAUCACUGGGCGUAAAGCGCGUGUAGGCGGCUCGAUAAGUCCGGUGUGAAACCUUGGGGCUCAACCCCAAGCCUGCACUGGAUACUGCCGAGCUAGAGUCCGGGAGGGGAGAGCGGAAUCCUAGUGUAGCGGUGGAAUGCGCAGAUAGUCAGGAGGAACACCGGUGGCGAAGGCGGGAUCCUGGGCCAGUACUGACGCUGAGGAGCGAAAGCGUGGGGAGCAAACAGG